UGAGCAUCGGUGAUGAUUAGAAUCCAUUGUUAUCCUUGCACUAUGAUUGUUUGUGAAGAAACUUAUGGGGAAAGUUCUUUCUGAGAUGCUC